UACGUAGGGUGCGAGCGUUAAUCGGAAUUACUGGGCGUAAAGCGUGCGUAGGUGGUUCGUUGUGUCUGUGGUGAAAGCCCCGGGCUUAACCUGGGAAUGGCCAUGGAAACUGGCGAGCUGGAGUGUGGCAGAGGGGGGUGGAAUUCCGCGUGUAGCAGUGAAAUGCGUAGAGAUGCGGAGGAACACCGAUGGCGAAGGCAGCCUUCUGGGCCAACACUGACGCUCAUGCACGAAAGCGUGGGGAGCAAACAGG
rnacentral:rRNA from 1 species